GUUUCUCAUGCAUCUUCAUUAAGACCAAAUAGAGACCCUCCUUCUUACUUACAUAGUAGUAACGUUAACCAAAAAAUUCUUAAGCCAUAUUUUACCAUAAAAUAUGGAUUAUUCCGGGCACCUCGAGCACAUGCUCUGCAAGCAUGGCGGAGACGAUGACGUCAGCUUCGACCAAAACAGCUUCGGUGCGGCCGCAGCGAUAGCCUCGAGCGAACAAAUUCUGACGUCAGCCAUCGAUUCCAUGAAGCUCAACCAAGUAGUUCACCUACAGAUUGCCGAUUUGAGCCUCGGAGCCGCAGGCCACACGUUUUCCGCGGUAGACACGGUAGUUGAGGUGUUAAGGCGGAAGCUGGCCAUGAUUAACGGCGGAACCGAGCCAGCGUUUGAAGUCUUCUUCUCCGACCUGCGCCCUUCGAAGGACUUCACCUCGUCGUUUCGACCGUUGGAAGACAGAGUUGACGGCUCGGGGAAGAAGUACUACUCCGCUGGCGUUUCCGGCUCGUUCAGUUGGAGGCUGUUUCCGAAAGGAGAGCUCCAUGUUGUUGUGACGAGUUCCUUACAAUGGCUCUCUCGGAUACCGAGAAAGGUGAUGAAGAAAGGAUCGGAGCGAUGGAAUAAGGGAAGGGCGUGGAUUCAAGGAGCACAGAGAGAAGUUGUAGAGGCAUACGCGGAGCAGUCAGACAAGGACUUAGUCCAGUUCUUGAAAUGUCGGAAAGAAGAAAUUAUGGUAGGAGGAAUGUUGUUUAUGUUGAUGGCUGGUCGACCUUCUGACUUAGAGAGUCAAGUCAGUGAUGAAUCCCGUCUCAAGCUCAUUUUCACAACUUUCAUGGAUCAAGCAUGGCAAGAUCUAGUAGAUGAGGGUUCAAUAAAAGAGGAGAGAAGAGAUGGUUUCAACAUUCCGGUCUACCUUAGAAACACAGAGGAAGUGGCGGCUGCGAUAGAAAGUUGUGGUGGUUUCAAGAUAGAGAAGAUGGAGCUAUUGAAAAUAGAUGACCCUAUGAAUGCUAGACAGCAAGAGUUUAUGAAAGAUCCGGAUUCAUACGGUCGAGCCAUGGCUAAUUUGGUUCAGCUGGUCUUAUAAAGCCAAUGGUUGAGAACUAUCUCGGUCCUGACCUAACCAGCAAGUUAUUCAAACGGUAUGCAAUUCGAGCUGCUAACAACAAAGAAUUUCUCACGAAGAAUUAUUUCUAUCAUAUGAUCGCUGUUUCAGCGAUUCGGGUUUGAAGUUAGUUAACUACCUAGCAUGUCAAAGUUUAUAUAUACGAUAUCGUUUGACGGAUGCAAGAUGAAAUAAGUGAUUAUAUUAGACUGAAACCAUUGUAUUUCAGAUAUAUUAUAGAUUAAUAGUAUUGUGUUGUGUUGUCCUUUA